GGCAAAACAUAAAGCAGCAACAUCACCAGUCCUUGAAUCAAAAGGGGGCAUGUGCUUUCGAGAAGUGUCGUACGUUGAUGCUUCAGGAAUACCCAGGACCACGAUGGCCUGGGAGCUGUUGACAAUCCUUGGAUGUUGAUAGCGGUUGUUCCAGAGACAAAACGGGUAACAUCUCACUGUUGCAAAAGGUAUAUUUCUUUACAGUUGACAUGUUUGUUUUUGAGGAGAUAAGAGAAGUAAGUAAAACAAGAUCAGCGAAAAAGGUAUAAUUUAAAUUUCGCAUUUUAAUUUUGAUAUUGAUUAAUCUUAAGUCUAAUGAUGGAACGGUUAGGCAAAAACAAUAAAAUUAUUUUCAUUUUCUUUUGUGUUUUUCUUUGUACAUAUGUUCUCGUUGUUAGGUAAAUUUGUGCAUAAGUUUUAUGCACAAAUUUAGGGGGAUAUCUCUGGAUAUCUGUAAAUAGAGAAAAUGAGAAAAUAUA
rnacentral:lncRNA from 1 species